rnacentral:rRNA from 1 species
GAUGAACGCUGGCGGCGUGCUUAACACAUGCAAGUCGAGCGAGAGAGUUCUUCGGAACAAUCUAGCGGCGGACGGGUGAGUAACACGUGGGCAACCUGCCUCAUAGAGGGGAAUAGCCUUCCGAAAGGAAGAUGAAUACCGCAUAACAUCGUUGAAGGGCAUCCUGCGAUGAUCAAAGGAGCAAUCCGCUAUGAGAUGGGCCCGCGGCGCAUUAGCUAGUUGGUGAGGUAACGGCUCACCAAGGCGAGGAUGCGUAGCCGUCCUGAGAGGGUGAUCGGCCACAUUGGGACUGAGACACGGCCCAGACUCCUACGGGAGGCAGCAGUGGGGAAUACUGCACAAUGGGGGAAACCCUGAUGCAGCAACGCCGCGUGAGUGAUGACGGCCUUCGGGUUGUAAAGCUCUGUCUUUGGGGACGAUAAUGACGGUACCCAAGGAGGAAGUCACGGCUAACUACGUGCCAGCAGCCGCAGUAA